rnacentral:rRNA from 1 species
GACGAACGCUGGCGGCGUGCUUAACACAUGCAGGUCGAACGGAAAGGCCCUGCUUUUGUGGGGUGCUCGAGUGGCGAACGGGUGAGUAACACGUGAGUAACCUGCCCUUGACUUUGAGAUAACUUCAGGAAACUGGGGCUAAUACCGGAUAGGAGCUCCUGCUGCAUGGUGGGGGUUGGAAAGUUUCGGCGGUUGGGGAUGGACUCGCGGCUUAUCAGCUUGUUGGUGGGGUAGUGGCUUACCAAGGCUUUGACGGGUAGCCGGCCUGAGAGGGUGACCGGCCACAUUGGGACUGAGAUACGGCCCAGACUCCUACGGGAGGCAGCAGUGGGGAAUAUUGCACAAUGGGCGGAAGCCUGAUGCAGCAACGCCGCGUGCGGGAUGACGGCCUUCGGGUUGUAAACCGCUUUCGCCUGUGACGAAGCGUGAGUGACGGUAAUGGGUAAAGAAGCACCGGCUAACUACGUG